CAUUAAAUGCUCUGCAAAUAAAGAAACGAUGCAAACCAAGAAAACAUCUACAAAUGAAAAAUGCUGCAGAGCCAGUCACUAAAACAGAAGUGCUCCACACCUGCAGGGGGCAGCAUUUACAGACAACAGACUAGUGUCAAAUAGAAUCAAAUAAAAGUCACAUGACCACGCUACGCCAUAACUUCAGUUUGUUCUCACAGUAGUUUGAAACACUAUCAGUCAGCUGUUCUCUGUCUCUCUCUCCAUCCUGUGUGUCUCUGCAUUGAGCUGUUCUGCUGACAGCGCCCCCUACAGGUGUGGAGCACUUCCAUUGUAGUCACA